GAUGAACGCUAGUGGCAGGCCUAACACAUGCAAGUCGAGGGGUAGAGGAAGCUUGCUUCCUUGAGACCGGCGCACGGGUGCGUAACGCGUAUGCAAUCUACCUUGUACAGGGGGAUAGCCCAGAGAAAUUUGGAUUAAUACCUCAUAGUGUUUAAGAGUGGCAUCACUUUUUUACUAAAGUUCCAACGGUACAAGAUGAGCAUGCGUCCCAUUAGCUAGUUGGUGUGGUAACGGCAUACCAAGGCAAUGAUGGGUAGGGGCCCUGAGAGGGACGUCCACCACGCUGCUACUGAGACACGGACCAUACUCCUACGGGAAGCAGCAGUGAGGAAUAUUUGGCCAUGGAGGCAACUCUGACCCAACCAUCCCGCGUGCAGGAAGACGGUGCUAUGAAUUAUCAACUGCUUUAGUCCGCGAAGAAACACUCCUUCGUGAAGGAGCUUGACGGUAUCGUAAGACUAAGGAUCGGCUAACUCCGUUCCAGCCGCCGCGGUAAAAC
rnacentral:rRNA from 1 species